AUGACUUCCCUUUCUCAGCUUCUGGGGAUGCUUAUGCUCCAGAGUCUUAGAGACACUGGUGAUGACCCAGGCUGCUUUCUCCAUACCUGUCACUUCUACAGUGUCAGCUUCCAUCUCCUUCAGGUCUUGUAAAGCUCUGUUACACAGUGAUGCCAAUACUUAUAUGCAAUGGUUCUUUCAAUGACAGGAGAGGCUCCAGAGCUCCUGAUGUAUUGUCUGUACA